rnacentral:rRNA from 1 species
AUUGAACGCUGGCGGCAUGCUUUACACAUGCAAGUCGAACGGCAGCACGGGUGCUUGCACCUGGUGGCGAGUGGCGGACGGGUGAGUAAUGCAUCGGAACGUGUCCUAAAGUGGGGGAUAACGCAUCGAAAGAUGUGCUAAUACCGCAUAUUCUGUGAGCAGGAAAGCAGGGGAUCGCAAGACCUUGCGCUGAUUGAGCGGCCGAUAUCAGAUUAGCUAGUUGGUGAGGUAAAGGCUCACCAAGGCGACGAUCUGUAGCGGGUCUGAGAGGAUGAUCCGCCACACUGGAACUGAGACACGGUCCAGACUCCUACGGGAGGCAGCAGUGGGGAAUUUUGGACAAUGGGCGCAAGCCUGAUCCAGCCGUGCCGCGUGAGUGAAGAAGGCCUCGGUGU